GUGCCAGCAGCCGCGGUAAUACGAAGGGUGCAAGCGUUACUCGGAAUUACUGGGCGUAAAGCGUGCGUAGGUGGUUUGUUAAGUCUGAUGUGAAAGCCCUGGGCUCAACCUGGGAAUGGCAUUGGAAACUGGCUGACUAGAGUGCGGUAGAGGGUAGUGGAAUUCCCGGUGUAGCAGUGAAAUGCGUAGAUAUCGGGAGGAACAUCUGUGGCGAAGGCGACUACCUGGACCAGCACUGACACUGAGGCACGAAAGCGUGGGGAGCAAACAGGAUUAGAUACCCUGGUAGUCCACGCCCUAAACGAUGCGAACUGGAUGUUGGGAGCAACUUGGCUCUCAGUAUCGAAGCUAACGCGUUAAGUUCGCCGCCUGGGAAGUACGGUCGCAAGCUGAAACUCAAAGGAAUUGACGGGA
rnacentral:rRNA from 1 species